GAUGAGGUGACCGAGUGGUUAAGGUACUGGACUGCUAAUCCAUUGUGCUCUGCACGCAUGGGUUCAAAUCCCAUCCUCAUGGGCUGCA